UGAUGAUAAACAUAAAUCCAGUCAGAGCUCUGAGGAAAUGCAGAUGCAAAACAAACACUCCAAAAGUGCACAAAAAUGAUAUAGGCCUAUACAUAACAUUUUAAUCCUAUUGCCUUAAAUGUGUGUGAUUUUUUCACCUUUGCUCUUUGUUUCUAUGCAGAUAAUUUUUCUACUUUUUUUUUUUACAGCAUUUAGCCUGCUGCUUUUUUAAAUAAAUAGUAUUUAAUGAUAGCUAAUGAUAAUAUUAGUACAUUUUAGCACGCCAAUUUAAGCGUGCCAUUGUCAACUUUAAUUGUAUAAAGCGUAAUUUCCCAACAACAAAAAUGUAGCUAGUGAAAAUGCUGCGUGGCUAGUGAAAAACCACUAGCCACAUUGGCUAGUGAGUAAAAAAGUUAAUGUCAAGCCCUGCUAAUGGAACUAAUGGAAUAGUCACUAGUAACAAAAAAUUAAGUACUAGUAUGUAAUCAAUUGUUACUAGUAAAACAGGGAUAGUUACUAGUAGCUAAUAAAUAAGUACUAGUAGUUUUUAAAUAGCGACUAGUGCGUUUUACGGAAUAAAUGUUUAAAUGGCUUUCUAUAAAGGUUUAAGAUAACAAAUUGGGAUGAUACACCUCCUCUGCAUUUCAUUAGCCAGUGUACAGUAAUAUCAUUAAACCGUCAUAUAGCCUAAGUUAACAUUAAAGUUCAGCAGUUAAAAUACCUUGCACAACAUAGUAUUUUAAAUCAUAUCCUAUAUCAGCAUAUUCUGAAUCACAGUCAACCAUUCGUGAAAUCUAUGGAAUUAGUCUUUGUGCUUUGUGGCCUUUUAACCGUGCACAUCCAGAUAAUAUUUUUCAAUUAAUUCUAUGCAUUAUUGUUUCAACUUAAAUAUUUGACAUGAACUGUUUAUGUAUUAUGGUGGUUACCUUUUGUUUACAAAGUUGUGGGUGAUUCUGAUGUAAUUUCUGUCCCGACAGAUGGGAUGAGUCCCACAGAGGUCUGCUGGCAGACCCUUCUGGCCAUGUAGCCUAUACCAUGCACAUGUAUACCUAGCCUAUAUGUAAUGCUGACUAAUAUAUUUUCUUGCUUGCAUAUGGGACAAAAGAUGCACACUGACCAAAAUGAAAAAUCGGUCAUGUUUGGAGUGACUCAUGUGAUUGCUGUAGAUGGAUACAGCAAGAAAAUUGGUGCAAAAUACAAGUAUGCCUGCAAAGAACAAUCUAGCCAUCUAUGAAGAGGUGUACAGACCUGCAGUAACACAUUAUGGAAUGUGGGAUCAACUUCGCGUGGAUCAUGGCAAAGAGUUUUACCUGUGCCUCUACAUGCAGCAAAGACAGCCAUACCUCCAAACACAGUCAACAAGGAAUCACACAGUGGAAAGGAUGUGGCCAGAAAUUAACAACAGAGUGAAUUAUCCAUUAAAGGAGGCCCUCAUCCAGCUACAAGAUCAGGAAGCAAUAGAUAUGGAGGACAGUCUGACAAGGUUCUGCACAUCCAAUCUGACCUGCCAGAUGUGCCAGAUUGGCAUAAACAGAUUUGUGCAAUCAUGGAAUGCUCACGGGAUUCCAGAGAGAGGGAUACCAAAUCACCUAGCAGGGACUGGAACACCAAGACAAAUCACAACCGAUCUUCUACCAGAUGCCACAGUUGCAGCUGACAUGUAUCACAGGGACAUGGGAUCCUCCCUCACCAGAGUAUCUUCAUUCGGAAGUGUCCCCUUUCUGUCUGAGGCAGACAAAGUGAGAGCAGAGCAGCCCUUUGCACAUUAUUAUCCCCACCUUUCAGUUAUUUUUGACAGUGCUGUCAAUUACAACUAUGCUCCCUUCAAAGAGGCCUUGAUCUACCUCAUCGAUGUAACAAACACUUGUUCCUAAUUUCAUAUGCACUGGAUUGUGAGGAGCCUUGUAACGGAUCGCUGGACAUCUGUGUCUGUGGACACCAUUAUGCAGUUACUACUCCAACAGUAGAGGGUAUGCUCCAAGCACACCCUGUGCCACUUAACAUCACGGAUGUAAAUUCCUGAUGUACGCUUAAGGAAUGGCUCUGUUUUUACAGACUGGUUUCCUUAAUCUCAAUUGGCUAUACAAAGAACACCAGGAGCAGGACACUUGAGCUUUUAAAUGACCACUACAUCAUAAAUUCCACCAAACAACAACAAUAUGUUUGUCAGGGUGAAUAGAUUAUUUUUUGUCUUCUUGAGGACAAGACUUACCUCUGU